UACGGAGGGUGCAAGCGUUAUCCGGAAUUACUGGGUUUAAAGGGUGCGUAGGCGGCCAUGUAAGUCAGAGGUGAAAGUUUUUCGCUUAACGAAAGAAUUGCCUUUGAUACUGUGUGGCUUGAAUCGAGUUGAGGUUGGCAGAAUGGGUCAUGUAGCGGUGAAAUGCAUAGAUAUGCCCUAGAAUACCAAUUGCGAAGGCAGCUGACUAGACUGAGAUUGACGCUGAGGCACGAAAGCGUGGGUAGCGAACAGG
rnacentral:rRNA from 1 species